rnacentral:lncRNA from 1 species
GCCAGGCAGUGGUGGUGCACACCUUUAAUCCCAGCACUCGGGAGGCAGAGGCAGGCGGAUUUCUGAGUUUGAGGUCAACCUGGUCUACAGAGUGAGUUCCAGGACAGCCAGGGCUACACAGAGAAACCCUGUCUCAAAAAAACAAAAACAAAAAAACAAAACAAACCAAAAAACCAAUAGCAAGUGUUUGUUUUGUUUUGAAACAGGGUUUCUCUGUGUAGCCCUGGCAGUCCUAGAACUCACUCUGUAGACCAGGCUGAUCUUGAACUCAGAGAUCUGCCUGC